rnacentral:misc_RNA from 1 species
GCUUUUUCCAUUUAAAGCACAGAAAAAGUGCCAAAAAGAAAUUUUCAAGGCCAAUGUUGGAAGAUUUUGAAAUUUAUUUAGAUGAAGAUAUUAAUAGAAAUGAAUCUUAUUUUGGAAAUGAGGAUGAAAGUGUUGAGACUUUGAUGGGAAGUGUAGUGAAGAUCUCUAAGUUAUGGCUAUUAAUUUGAAUGCUAAAAUCUUUUGGAUGUUUGAUGAUUUCUU